AUUCAGUUGACGAGUCCCAAAUAGGACAAAACGUGCAUACUGGAU
rfam:Schistosoma haematobium scaffold753_2, whole genome shotgun sequence.